rnacentral:rRNA from 1 species
GACGAACGCUGGCGGCGUGCUUAACACAUGCAAGUCGAACGGUGAAAGCGGAGCUUGCUCCGCUGGAUCAGUGGCGAACGGGUGAGUAACACGUGGGCAACCUGCCCCUGACUUCGGGAUAACUCCUCGAAAGAGGUGCUAAUACCGGAUACGAAUCCUGCAGGCAUCUGCGGGAUUGGAAAGUUUUUCGGUCAGGGAUGGGCCCGCGGCCUAUCAGCUUGUUGGUGAGGUAGUGGCUCACCAAGGCGACGACGGUAGCCGGCCUGAGAGGGGGACCGGCCACACGGGGACUGAGACACGGCCCAGACUCCUACGGGAGGCAGCAGUGGGGAAAAAUGCGCAAUGGGCGAAAGCCUGACGCAGCAACGCCGCGUGAGGGAUGACGGCCUUCGGGUUGUAACCCUCUUUCAGCAGGGAAGAAGCGAAAGUGACGGUACCUGCAGAAGAAGCACCGGCUAACUACGUGCCAGCAGCCGCCGUAA